rnacentral:tRNA from 1 species
GCCCUGGUGGUCCAGUGGUUAAGACUCCACACUUGCACUGCUAUGGGCCCAGGUUUGAUCCCUGGUCAGGGAU